UCCGUUAUGGUGUAGUGGCCAACAUUAUCGCCUCUCAUCCCCUGAAAGCAUAUUUGUGAGCGCGAUAGCCCAGGGUUCGAUUCCCUGUAACGGAA